rnacentral:rRNA from 1 species
UGGGUAAGUCGGGGCCUAAGGCGAGGUCGAAAGACGUAGUCGAUGGAUAACAGGUUGAAAUUCCUGUACUAUCCUGUAACAGAACUGUGGGGACACAGGCAGAGAGCGUGAGCCGGGAAUGGAAAGACCGGUACAAGCGAGGUAGGAGAAGAGUUGGCAAAUCCGCUCUUCAAUCUGAAGACGUGAUGUGGACUGAAAAUAAGUAGGGAAGCACGUGAGCUGACUGUCAAGAAAAGCCGCUAUUGUUUGCAGGAUACCCGUACCGUAAACCGACACAGGUGGAUGAGGAGAGAAUCCUAAGGCCGACGGGAGAAGCAUUGUUAAGGAACUCGGCAAAAUGACUCCGUAACUUCGGGAGAAGGAGUGCCAGUAAGAUGGCCGCAGAGAAUUGGCCCAAGCAACUGUUUAGCAAAAACACAGGUCUAUGCAAAACCGAAAGGUGAGGUAUAUGGGCUGACGCCUGCCCGGUGCUGGAAGGUUAAGGGGAGAGGUUAGCGCAAGCGAAGCUUUGAACUUAAGCCCCAGUAAACGGCGGCCGUAACUAUAACGGUCCUAAGGUAGCGAAAUUCCUUGUCGGGUAAGUUCCGACCCGCACGAAAGGCGUAAUGAUUUGAGCGCUGUCUCGACAAUGCAUCCGGUGAAAUUGAAGUACCAGUGAAGAUGCUGGUUACCUGCGCCAGGACGGAAAGACCCCAUGGAGCUUUACUCCAGCUUGAUACUGGGAUUCGGUAUUGCAUGUACAGGAUAGGUGGGAGGCUAGGAAAUGGUAACGCCAGUUGCCAUGGAGCCAAUGUUGGGAUACCACCCUUGCAGUACUGGGUUUCUAACCAGCAGCCGUGAUCCGGCUGGGGGACAAUGUCAGGUGGGGAGUUUGACUGGGGCGGUCGCCUCCGAAAGGGUAUCGGAGGCGCUCAAAGGUUCCCUCAGAAUGGUUGGAAACCAUUCGAAGAGUGCAAAGGCAGAAGGGAGCUUGACUGCGACACCGACGGGUGGAGCAGGUAGGAAACUAGGACUUAGUGAUCCGGUGGUAUGAAAGUGGGAUUGCCAUCGCUCAACGGAUAAAAGCUACCCUGGGGAUAACAGGCUUAUCACUCCCAAGAGUUCACAUCGACGGAGUGGUUUGGCACCUCGAUGUCGGCUCAUCGCAUCCUGGGGCUGUAGUAGGUCCCAAGGGUUGGGCUGUUCGCCCAUUAAAGCGGUACGCGAGCUGGGUUCAGAACGUCGUGAGACAGUUCGGUCCCUAUCCGGCGCGGGCGGAGGAUAUUUGAGAGGAGCUGUCCUUAGUACGAGAGGACCGGGAUGGACGGACCACUGGUGUAUCUGUUGGCUAUCAGAGCCAUGGCAGAGUAGCCAAGUCCGGAAGGGAUAAACGCUGAAGGCAUCUAAGCGUGAAGCCCCCCUCAAGAUGAGAUAUCCCUCAGAAAUGAGUAAGACCCCUUGAAGACUACGAGGUAGAUAGGAAUGAGGUGUAAGCACAGUAAUGUGUUCAGCUGACAUUUACUAAUCGGUCGAGGGCUUGACCA